UUCCUUGGAAAGUAUUUGUCUACACCUGAUUUCUUACUGAUGACAUACAUUUGUCUGUUCUCUCUUUUCAGGACUUCCAAGUUUGCCCUGACUUUUCCCCUCUGUACAGAUUGCCACCCAUUCAGCAUCACUUCUUUGUUAUCAGAUGCCCAACUUUUUCUUUGUAAGAUAAAAGAUGCAUACAAAUUGGAAUCAAAUUACAGAAGUGAAAUUCACCUGAAAAUUUAAUUGCUGGGGGAAAAAAAUCAUCUGUUUCUAAGUCUGAAACUCAUAAUAGUGUUUCCAGAGAGCAUUGUUAUUGAAGUGAUAGAAAUCAUGCUGAAAGGUUUUUGUGAAAAAUGAGUAAAAGAAUAAAAUUUCUUAAUUUAAA